rnacentral:rRNA from 1 species
UACGUAGGAUGCGAGCGUUAAUCGGAAUUACUGGGCGUAAAGCGUGCGCAGGCGGUUUUGUAAGCCAGAUGUGAAAGCCCCGGGCUUAACCUGGGAAUGGCAUUUGGGACUGCAAGGCUGGAGUGUGGCAGAGGAGACUGGAAUUCCUGGUGUAGCAGUGAAAUGCGUAGAUAUCAGGAGGAAUACCGAUGGCGAAGGCAGGUCUCUGGGCUGACACUGACGCUCAUGCACGAAAGCGUGGGGAGCAAACAGG